UACGUAGGUGGCAAGCGUUGUCCGGAUUUACUGGGCGUAAAGAGCGCGCAGGCGGUCGUUCAAGUCGCGUGUGAAAGCCCCCGGCUCAACUGGGGAGGGUCACGCGAUACUGAUCGACUCGAAGGCAGGAGAGGGUAGUGGAAUUCCCGGUGUAGUGGUGAAAUUCGUAGAUAUUGGCUGGAACACCGGUGGCGAAAGCGGCUCUCUGGCCCGGUUCUGGACGCUGAGGCGCGAAAGCGUGGGGAGCAAACAGGG
rnacentral:rRNA from 1 species